rnacentral:pre_miRNA from 1 species
AGCUUUCUCAAUCCGUGCUGAGAUUUCGUCAGACACCAACACUUUUGGGCUGAUCAGACUCGCAACAUAAGGGAAGUU